rnacentral:rRNA from 1 species
UACGUAGGUGACAAGCGUUGUCCGGAUUUACUGGGCGUAAAGAGCGCGUAGGCGGUCUGUUAAGUGUGAAGUGAAAUCUCCAGAGCUCAACUCGGAAACUGCUUCGCAUACUGGCAGACUUGAGGGACUGAGAGGUGAAUGGAAUUCCUGGUGUAGCGGUGAAAUGCGUAGAUAUCAGGAGGAACACCCAUGGCGAAGGCAGUUCACUGGCAGUCUCCUGACGCUGAGGCGCGAAAGCUAGGGGAGCAAACGGG